AUGUGAAUUUUAAAACACUUCAUUUAUGUGGGUGUAUUUAUAACAAGAAUUACAAAUAAUUAUAAUUAUAAACAGUAAAAGAAGAAGAUGAUGAAGAAGAAGAAGAAGAAGAAGAGGAAGCCUUUGACGUGUUAGAAGGCACGUGUUUUUCCUGCAAUCGGUCAAGGUCAUUACGACGAUAUCGACCUGCUUCUCUUGCAAACAACAACCCGUCUUUAAACCGACCUUUUGCCUUGCAUACGUAACGAGAAACAGAUUCUUAUAAAUGAGAACAGCAAACUAUCAAGCGAAAGUAGCAUCAGCAUUAUAAUCUUCAAGAAGAUCUUCUCUCAGAUGAGAUCUUCUCUCACCGACAGCCUUUGAAAAUGUAUUUUGAACGUGUGCAAGGGCGUAGACGAUAACCGAUUUGUCAGGAUCCCUUUCUAAGGAUCCUAAAACGAAAGCAUCGUUAAUCUCGAAACGGCCUCCCGGGCGUGAAAGUGAAUCUCACGUUUGGACACGUGAAGUUUAGAUUUUUAUUAGAGAUAUAUAUUUACCAUUGAGAUGUGCAAUCGAAAUCAUUGAAUCUUAUAAAUCUUUGUGGACGACGGUGUGUAUUGCAUGGAAUACCAUAAACGCGUAUACAACAAGGUUUCCAACUUGGUUUUUGUGGGAUUGGUGGUACAAUGCAAAUGUUACGGGGAGAACUUGGUGGACAUUUAAAUCUUGGUGGACAGGAUCUUUCAGGUGGACAUGGUCUCAUUGGGCAUCCCGAACAUGGUUGACAGGACUGAUUAAAAUCAAUUACAAUUAACUCAUUCACUAUCCAAAUCUAAGGCUCGUUAAAAUUUUUAAUUUGACAUUUUGGCGUUCUUUAAUUUGAAAAGAAACAAUAAUCCAAACAAUAAUGUUGUAUUGACAAAGUAACGAUGGGAAAUUUUCCGAGUUUUUGCCGAAAUGUGUAUCGAUUUCUCUCGAAGUUUUUCUCGACUCGUUGGCAUCAUCUCGCGUUUUUUGUUUACACGAAAAUAUCUGAGGCGCGGGCAGGGCGACCUCGAGAGAUUGCGACGAACUCGCAAAACCUGACCUGCAUUAAUAUGGCAUCGGUUGUGUGCAGCGAUAUUCGGUGGUAUCCGCAACGAGACCUUGGCUUCGAAACACCGAAACACAGAUUCUUACACGACGAAGACAACAACGACGACGAUGAAAACGACGACGACGACAACGACGACGACGACAAC